AUAAAUGUAUAUAAUCAGGUCUGGAAGUAUAGCUCCCGACGAACUGUGUCCAUGAUUUCAGCUAUCGCGCAGCAAUACGUUCGUAGUGUCUCUACUUCCUCAUCAGACAGGAGGAAACCCAAUGCAGACAGGAUAUGCAAACUCAACAGAGUCACAGAAGUGGCAUGAAGUUCAAGCCCCUGGACCUGAAGGUGUGAGCCACCAUAUUCCCUUUCGUGAUCCUUCUGAGCCACCAGAUUACAGGGGCGUCCGUGUGGCUGCAGGGCUGGAGUGCAGGUGGAGGGAAAGUAAGAUGGAGAGAGAGACGGAGACAGACUGAGAGAACGUGUGGUAGAAGGACACUGGCUGUGGAUUUUUGAGGACUCCUCUGUGUGGACUGGGCCUGCUGCUUUUUCCAUUUUCACCCUGCAGUGAUUCUGAACGAUAACACCCCCCAGCCUACAU